CUCUUCGUCGCGCGUUCAUCUCCCCAAGCUCUGCAAAGUCAAACUCUUAGUCCUCACUUUAUUGCCCGACUUCACGCUGAAGUAACCCAUGUUUUAUUUUAAGCCUGUCACGUGUCUCUGUGAGUUCUAAAGACUUACGCAAAGAAUAUGAACUCUUCAAGCAAGAGCAAAAAUUUUAUCUGCUUUAGUCACAGCUAAUUUGUGAACCUAGAAGAAUUCAUGACACAUAGUAGUCUCUCGAUAUGUAUUUUUUAAUGCGUGGAUGAAUAAUAGAGAUUUUUGGUUUGGCUUCAAAGUGGGCUGGGGGAGGAAAUACGGUUUUGAGAAACUGGGGAGGGAAAUGCACAAGACUGCCAACUUCUGAGACAUAGCCCACCACAAGGGCAAAUUUCAGUGACAGUGGAGCAGAGAGUAGGAGGGAGAAAGUAAAGUAAGUGAGACACCUGAUCUGGAGAGCCUAGUUACUACAUACCAUGUUAUGCAGUUUGGGCUUAUCUUUUUUUUUUUAAGAUUUUUUUUUAAAUUUAUUAGAGAGUGAGCAUGAGUGGGGGGAGGAGCAGAGGGAGAGGGAGAAGUAGACUCCCCACCAAGCAGGUAGUCUGAUGCAGGGCUCUAUCCUGGGACCCUGGGAUCAUGACCUUAGCCAAAGGCAGACACUAAAUGGACGGAGCCACUGAGGUGCCUGGGCUUAUCUUAAGAAAAAUGGAAAGUGUGUAUGGGGGCAUGGGAUGGUUUUAACCUGGAGGGUGGGAUCAUCACUCAAGUGUUAGAAAGAUCACACUGGCGGCUGUGUGACAAAUGAACUGGAGGAGGCAGGAGCAACCACUAGGAAGCUAAUGCAGACCGAUGACAAUGGUGAUCUAGACCAGGGUGAAUUUAAGAAACAUCAGAUUGAACCAUAUGAAAGUGCCACUUUUGUAGGUCAGCAGCUAUCAAACAGUCCCAUUUCCAUUGGUUCAACCCGAUAGAAGGUAGUGGAUUAAAAACAGCCACAGAUACUUUAAGCUCUUCCCAUGAGAACAUAUUUAUUUCCCCACCAUCUCUGCACUGGCCUUAUCAUUUGCUUUGCUUAAAAGAAUGUGACAGAAGUGCACUGCAGAGGGGUGCCUGGGUGGCUCAGUCGGUUAAGCGUCUGCCAUUGGCUCAGGUCAUCCCAGGGUCCUGGGAUCAAGUUCCGCAUUGGGCUCUCUGCUCAGCAGGGAGCCUGCUUCUCCCUCUCCCUGCCGCUCUCCCUGCUUGUGUGCUCUCUGUCAAAUAAAUAAAGUAUUAAAAAAAAAAAAAAGUGCACUGGGGAAUUCUGAGGCAAAGCUUCAAGAGAACUUAGAACUUCUGCUCUCCCCCCUUGAAACCCAGAGACCAUCUACCAUGUUAUGAAGAUGAAAGACGAUGUGGAGGGGCCAGACUGUCUCAGCUGAUCCCAGACACCAGCCAGGGAGACAGCCUGGGAGAGACCAGCAGAGUCACCCAGACUAAGUUGUUUUGAGCAUUGUUUUGGGGUGAUGUGUUACACAGCAACAGAUAAAAAAUACAAAAAGACUUGGCGAUUAUUGGUUGGGGGCAGGAAGUUCCUGAUGAAUCCAGAUUUCUGGCUUGAGCAACAGACAACUGUAGUGCCAUUUUGUGAGAUAAAGUUAGAGGAAAAGCCAAGAGCAGAGCAUGAGUUUUUGGAGUGGUGGUGUUUGGUUGGUAGUACAAGAUGAUGGGUUUAGUUUUGGAUACGUUGAGUACAGGAUUCCUUGAAGAUAUCCCAAGUGCACGUAUCACGUGGGCAGUUUUCUACAACCCUGGAGCUCAGAAACUGGGUCUUCGCAUAGAUUUGGAGUUGCCAGCAGAAAGCAAGCCAGAGGAAUGAACAAGAUUGCCCACAGCAGAGAAAGAGGAAGAAAUGCCCCAAAACAGGGAGCUAACUGUAGCCCUGGGCUGUAGAUCUGCAUGAACAAAAGAUGUGCCUUCAUGCCUGAGAGAGAUGGCUAAAAUGGAAAGGAGAAUGAUCUCACCUGAGCUGCUGACACCCAAACAGUCACUGAUCUCGGACCACAUCUAAUAUUUUCCUCCACCUACUCCUAUCCCUAGUCUUACAAUUGGAACUAUUAUGGAGCCCCUUGCUCAGAUGAAUACUCACACCAGAUUGGUUUCUAAGCCAAGGCAGAAGCAUCUAGCAACGGGCUGGAGAACGAAAGGGCAUAAGUAUGAGUGUGACAAAUACCCUCCAAGUCUCCACUUGGCUUGACUUCCGACAAGGUGUUUGAAGCUAUUUUGGGAAAGCCAUGUCCCAGAUUCAGGAUUGGGAAAGCCUCACCUCCAUUGUGUCAUUUUUAGAAGAUGUUGCCAUGUGAUUCAAUCAACAGAAUAAAGAACAAUUAUUCUCAAGCAGAAAAAGCCAAGUCAGAUAAAACUGCAGAGUUCCUAAGAACCUGACAUCUGUGUCUAGGACCAAGAGAAACCUGAAGACCCCUGAAAUCUACAAGAUGUUGAAGAGGGGCCAAGUCCCUGCUUGCAGAGGUGACAGGCCUGAAAUCAUACAUGCUGUGUAUGAGACUCAACCCUGAUGCAUAUGUUCUUUCCAAACCUUCCCUUUGGGUUUCUCCCCAGAAUUAUUUUGUACAAUCGAUCUUUUAGAGCCACAAAUCCUUUUUGGAAUAACAACAAGUAGGUGUAAAACCCCAUCAUUUUUCCUGUGUUAUUCCUCCAGUCCACUUCUUUUGUGCUUUCAGCACAACCAGUGACACCUUGGCAUUUGCUGUGUGAUGGGACUGAUGUGAUCAUCUUCAAACUUUUCUCAGAUGCCUGUCUUUUCCAACUACAGUAUAUCCUACAUAGGAUAUACUGCUAGGCCACCCCCCAACCCCCCCAAAAAAACCCAAUUUCAUCAGUUCCUUUCUGUGAUUUAACAAUCUGUGUCCAUUCACUAAUAAAUCCAAACACUGUUCAAUCAAGUUUUUGUUCUGUACCUAACAAGACUUUCCUCUGUCCACAUGGCGAAGCUGCUGUCCUCACUGCCCUUCCAGUUUGCCAGGUUUAUCCUGGGGAAGCUAUUUUAGUUUUAAUAUUACUUUCCACUGCCUAGAGCACUCUUGUUGUCACUUUUCUCCCAGAAGUAAACACCACUCCUUUAUGAAAUCUCAAGCCUCAGAAAUCCUCACCUUCUGAAUACCAGUGACACUGAAUGAAACUGCCUUCAUGUUAAAUAAUAAGAUUAAACAAAGGGAGAAGACCUGCUUCCAAGGCCUAUUUGUAUUUCUUUCCUAGGACUAGAAAAGUAGAAUGUAAGGACUUUGUCUUUACUGGCAUCUACCUUCUUUCUAAUUAGGUAGCCAGUGUUACAGAAGGAAUGUAAGGAGCCCUCUGGCAAUUGAGUAGGGCCGUUGGCCUAUAGAGACAUCGCAACUGUUCAUGCUUGGAGCAGUGUCAGCUCUGAAAUGGAACAGCAGUAUCAGGUGAUGACUAGCCUACGGAAUCAUCAGUGUCUCCACUUAGGUAUAAUCACUAAUAUCAGCAACCCAAAACAUGCUGUUUUUUUAUACUCACUAAUGGUGUCCUAGUAACAUACACACUUCAUAAUUAAGUUCAGUUAACAUCAAUAACAAAUACAUCAGCAACUGACUAGUCCUUGAGCACACAGCCAUUCAAUGACACUCCAAAAAACCCCAAAAAAUCCAAUGUUUAUGGAUAGUGAACAUAUCCAGAAUCUUCUAGUGGACCAAAAAUUUCCUUUACCAAGUGAGUCUCUCUCUGUUCUAGGACAGUUUAUUAUUCCAUACAGGGGAACUUACUAAAAAGAGUAAAAGAAACUCUGGGGACUGAAGCUAACCAAGGGCUCAAUACAUUUUCAAUACAUCACUGAUGUCUAGAGACAGCACACAGUCACAGAGGUAGCUGUGGACCACUGAGCCCUGGGAGCCAAGCUCUGGCAGGAAUGAAUAUGGAUUGUGAAGAAAUAUGGACUGCAGUGACACUGGGGUGACAUUAGAGAGCCAUCCAUAACAGCGAGUCUUACCUUUUUAAAAGACACUCCUUUAGGAGUCUUUCCCCAGGAAAAUGCAUUUAAACUCAAAGUAUGGUAUACACUGCACAGACUCCAUGAAACCGAUCUAAGUGAAUUCUUAGAGGAGUCCAAGCCCCCAGAUUCAGAACUGCUGAUCUAGAUUUCUACCAGAUACCUAUUUACUCCUACUAUUGAAAUGUCUGAAGCCUAUCCCUUCCCAUGUCCCUGCUUAGAUUUAGGGCUACAUAGUAGACAGGUAUACAUGUUGUGAGAAGGGGGGAAUGUAGGUAAGCCUGCAGCCUUGUGAGGAGUCAGUACUCCUUUAUAUUGCCUUUGUUUUAGUUAUUUCAGGGUUGGUCCACAGCACUGCAGGGGGUGGGAGACAAAAAUUUCUUCUCUUCUUACAAGACUCCCAAGGUGGGUAAGAGUUGGCCAGAAGCAGAGAAGACUCUACAGUCAAAUGCCCACUGGGCAAAUGUGGCAGGACUGGCGGUCUGUUGGUCUCUGCGGUAUCUAUAAUGUCAGAUUGAGGAAACCACCUGGAGGCUGGCAUUGGCUCCUUCCCUUCCCAGGAAACAGAUCUGGCCCUAAAACAUGGAAACACUUAAAAGGAUAGUCUGGGAUUGAAACAGUGCUCAUCACAGAAAAUCCCUCUUCUAGGCCUGGGCCUACACAUUCUGUAUCAAGGUCAAAGAGCUGGAGAGGACUCCUUGUGGCUGGGAUUUCGGUUUCAUCUCAUCCUUUCUCUGUAACUCUGGAUACCAUCAGCCUUGGCCAGGUAUGAGGAAGCGUCCGUUACUAAUACUUCCUCUGACUAUUCUGCACAAAGAUGCCCAGUA